rnacentral:rRNA from 1 species
AACGAACGCUGGCGGCAUGCCUAACACAUGCCAGUCGAACGAGACCUUCGGGUCUAGUGGCGCACGGGUGCGUAACGCGUGGGAACCUGCCCUUAGGUUCGGAAUAACUCCCCGAAAGGGGUGCUAAUACCGGAUAAUGUCUUCGGACCAAAGAUUUAUCGCCUUUGGAUGGGCCCGCGUUGGAUUAGCUAGUUGGUAGGGUAAAAGCCUACCAAGGCGACGAUCCAUAGCUGGGCUGAGAGGAUGAUCAGCCACACUGGGACUGAGACACGGCCCAGACUCCUACGGGAGGCAGCAGUGGGGAAUAUUGGAAAAUGGGCGAAAGCCUGAUCCAGCAAUGCCGCGUGAGUGAUGAAGGCCUUAGGGUUGUAAAGCUCUUUUACCCGGGAUGAUAAUGACAGUACCGGGAGAAUAAGCUCCGGCUAACUCCGUG